rnacentral:rRNA from 1 species
ACCUCGGGAAACCGGAGCUAAUACCGGAUAAUAUUUUGAACCGCAUGUUCAAAAGUGAAAGACGGUCUUGCUGUCACUUAUAGAUGGAUCCGCGCUGCAUUAGCUAGUUGGUAAGGUAACGGCUUACCAAGGCAACGAUGCAUAGCCGACCUGAGAGGGUGAUCGGCCACACUGGAACUGAGACACGGUCCAG